GGUAGCCUAGUAGUUAGAGCUUCCGCCUCAGAUGUGGAAGGUCGCGGAUUCGAACCCCGGCUGAAUCA